GACUCUUCUCACCUUUGGCUGAUGUGUUUAUGUGAUUGGAUUUCUUCCUGUGUGACUCAGUAUGGAGGCAAGAUCACGUUUGGUUCUGGCACAAAACUGAAAGUUGAAUCAAAGGAUGUUUCCGAGCCGUCCUACUACAUACUGGAAGAUGGCGAUCCUCAGGUGUGCCUGGCCUCUGAUUUCAGCAAACAUGACGCGAACAAAAAUAAUAAUCUCUUCAAAGGAACAGAGCCCGUCCUGAUGGACAACCUGUACAGCCAGGUGGCUUUCCUGUCAGGUGAAACGAGUCAGUGUGGAGAGGAUGGUGGAUCAGACCAGUGUGAAGAUAAGCUGGAGCAAGAUCCGAUGGUGAACCUCAUGUCCAUGACCGUCCUGGGCCUCAGACUGCUCUUCCUCAAGACCCUCGUCUUCAACGCCCUGAUGACGUUUCGACUGUGGGUCAGUCAGUAAAGAUGGUGAGUCCACAGAAAGACUUUCCGAACAAUCCGACCAACGCUGAGCUUGAUUCAUCUGCAUCAUGUGUAAUCAUAUGUUUAAACAUGUCAUCCCCUGCUCGUCUGUUCAUACAUCCACAGACCUUCUGUAAUACAUGCAAUCUGUAUUUUUGUUGCUUUUGAUAAAUGAUUUUUUUGUAAAUAUCAAAGUUACAUUUCACGAUGUGUCAGACUGAUCAUCUCGCUUCCAGAGCAAAACCUUUUAAAAACGCUGUGUGAUAUUUCCAAUAAAAACAGAAAGAAAACGAG